AGUGAACGCUGGCGGUAGGCCUAACACAUGCAAGUCGAACGGCAGCACAGUAAGAGCUUGCUCUUACGGGUGGCGAGUGGCGGACGGGUGAGGAAUACAUCGGAAUCUACUUUUUCGUGGGGGAUAACGUAGGGAAACUUACGCUAAUACCGCAUACGACCUACGGGUGAAAGCAGGGGAUCUUCGGACCUUGCGCGAUUGAAUGAGCCGAUGUCGGAUUAGCUAGUUGGCGGGGUAAAGGCCCACCAAGGCGACGAUCGGUAGCUGGUCUGAGAGGAUGAUCAGCCACACUGGAACUGAGACACGGUCCAGACUCCUGCGGGAGGCAGCAGUGGGGAAUAUUGGACAAUGGGCGCAAGCCUGAUCCAGCCAUACCGCGUGGGUGCAGAAGGCCUUCGGGUUGUAAAGCCCUUUUGUUGGGAAAGAAAAGCAGCAGGUUAAUACCCCGCUGUUCUGACGGUACCCAAAGAAUAAGCACCGGCUAACUUCGUG
rnacentral:rRNA from 1 species